rnacentral:rRNA from 1 species
CCGAGCGGUAGAGAUUCUUCGGAAUCUUGAGAGCGGCGUACGGGUGCGGAACACGUGUGCAACCUGCCUUUAUCAGGGAGAUAGCCUUUCGAAAGGAAGAUUAAUACCCCAUAAUAUAUUAAGUGGCAUCACUUGAUAUUGAAAACUACGGUGGAUAGAGAUGGGCACGCGCAAGAUUAGAUAGUUGGUGAGGUAACGGCUCACCAAGUCUACGAUCUUUAGGGGGCCUGAGAGGGUGAUCCCCCACACUGGUACUGAGACACGGACCAGACUCCUACGGGAGGCAGCAGUGAGGAAUAUUGGACAAUGGGUGAAAGCCUGAUCCAGCCAUCCCGCGUGAAGGACGACGGCCCUAUGGGUUGUAAACUUCUUUUGUAUAGGGAUAAACCUAGAUACGUGUAUCUAGCUGAAGGUACUAUACGAAUAAGCACCGGCUAACUCCGUGCCAGCAGCCGCGGUAAUACGGAGGGUGCAAGCGUUAUCCGGAUUUAUUGGGUUUAAAGGGUCCGUAGGCGGAUCUGUAAGUCAGUGGUGAAAUCUCACAGCUUAACUGUGAAACUGCCAUUGAUACUGCAGGUCUUGAGUGUUGUUGAAGUAGCUGGAAUAAGUAGUGUAGCGGUGAAAUGCAUAGAUAUUACUUAGAACACCAAUUGCGAAGGCAGGUUACUAAGCAACAACUGACGCUGAUGGACGAAAGCGUGGGGAGCGAACAGGAUUAGAUACCCUGGUAGUCCACGCCGUAAACGAUGCUAACUCGUUUUUGGAUUUUCGGAUUCAGAGACUAAGCGAAAGUGAUAAGUUAGCCACCUGGGGAGUACGUUCGCAAGAAUGAAACUCAAAGGAAUUGACGGGGGCCCGCACAAGCGGUGGAUUAUGUGGUUUAAUUCGAUGAUACGCGAGGAACCUUACCAAGGCUUAAAUGGGAAAUGACAGGUUUAGAAAUAGACUUUUCUUCGGACAUUUUUCAAGGUGCUGCAUGGUUGUCGUCAGCUCGUGCCGUGAGGUGUUAGGUUAAGUCCUGCAACGAGCGCAACCCCUGUCACUAGUUGCCAUCAUUAAGUUGGGGACUCUAGUGAGACUGCCUACGCAAGUAGAGAGGAAGGUGGGGAUGACGUCAAAUCAUCACGGCCCUUACGCCUUGGGCCACACACGUAAUACAAUGGCCAGUACAGAGGGCAGCUACACAGCGAUGUGAUGCAAAUCUCGAAAGCUGGUCUCAGUUCGGAUUGGAGUCUGCAACUCGACUCUAUGAAGCUGGAAUCGCUAGUAAUCGCGCAUCAGCCAUGGCGCGGUGAAUACGUUCCCGGGCCUUGUACACACCGCCCGUCAAGCCAUGGAAGUCUGGGGUACCUGAAGUCGGUGACCGUAAC